UACGAAGGGUGCAAGCGUUACUCGGAAUUACUGGGCGUAAAGGGCGCGUAGGCGGACAGUUUAGUCAGAGGUGAAAGCCCAGGGCUCAACCUUGGAACUGCCUUUGAUACUGACUGUCUUGAGUUCGGGAGAGGUGAGUGGAAUGCCGAGUGUAGAGGUGAAAUUCGUAGAUAUUCGGCGGAACACCAGUGGCGAAGGCGACUCACUGGCCCGAUACUGACGCUGAGGCGCGAAAGCGUGGGGAGCAAACAGG
rnacentral:rRNA from 1 species